ACAUGCGAUCAUACCAGCACUAAUGCACCGGAUCCCAUCAGAACUCCGCAGUUAAGGGUGCUUGGGCGAGAGUAGUACUAGGAUAGAUUACCUCCCGCAAAGUCCUCGUGUUGCAUCCU
rfam:Arabidopsis thaliana chromosome 3, complete sequence.